rnacentral:rRNA from 1 species
GAUGAACGCUGGCGGCGUGCCUAAUACAUGCAAGUCGAGCGAACGGACGAGAAGCUUGCUUCUCUGAUGUUAGCGGCGGACGGGUGAGUAACACGUGGAUAACCUACCUAUAAGACUGGGAUAACUUCGGGAAACCGGAGCUAAUACCGGAUGAUAUUUUGAACCGCAUGGUUCAAAAGUGAAAGACGGUCUUGCUGUCACUUAUAGAUGGAUCCGCGCUGCAUUAGCUAGUUGGUAAGGUAACGGCUUACCAAGGCAACGAUGCAUAGCCGACCUGAGAGGGUGAUCGGCCACACGGGAACUGAGACACGGUCCAGACUCCUACGGGAGGCAGCAGUAGGGAAUCUGCCGCAAUGGGCGAAAGCCUGACGGAGCAACGCCGCGUGAGUGAUGAAGGUCUUCGGAUCGUAAAACUCUGUUAUUAGGGAAGAACAUAUGUGUAAGUAACUGUGCACAUCUUGACGGUACCUAAUCAGAAAGCCACGGCUAACUACGUG